UCCUUUUUGUUUGUUUUCUUAAGAAAAUAAUAAUCUUCCAAGAUGUAAUUGGAAAAAAAAAAAUCUUGCUCUUCUUAUGCCUCAUUAGGUCCAUUUACUUCUUAACAAGCUUCCAUUUAUUUCUUGUCACGUUAGCUGCCUUUUUAAAUACUCUUUCAGCAUUAAUUACAUAGAGAUACUUGAAGGUCAGCUUCAUCAUCUACUCAUAUGCUGUCUAU
rnacentral:lncRNA from 1 species